CAAACAGACUCAAAGGCGGCUGGCGGCGUUGGCGAGCAAGGCGCGGCGGAAGAAGGAGAGGCGACGGAAUAAGACGAGCCAGAGGGCGCUCAGGGUGACCCGACUCUGGUUUCUUUUGUGGAGGGAGCGACGUCAGUGAAAGGGGGAGCAGAGAUCGAGAGGGACGGUUUGUUCCAGUGCCAUGAUAGGGCGCGGAGGAGCAGAACGACCCUCUUCGUGGAUGGCAUUGAGAAGGCGGUUGGCUACAUCAUAUACGAGGCAUGUUCGCUCUGUUCGGAAAGAUUUUGAAUUUGUUCUUUCAGCGGAAUCGCAAGUUUGGGCGGCGAUUCCGCUUCGAAUUCUUUCGUUUCUUCUCUGAGGAGCAAGCCUAUUUUGCAGUCAACGUUCUAGAUGGCCUUAAGGUGGGUGGAGCAGCCCUAUCGGUGGCAUCGAUGAAGUUUCCAAGGGACAAAUCGAGAAGCUCUGUUUUUCAGGGAUGUCGCAGCAAGGGUUCGCCGACGUCGAUGGCUGACCCAUACAAGCCUAGCGUUUGUGGGCAGAAAUCUUGGAGGGAGGAUCUUGUAGGUAAGUGAUGUUUAUUUCUUACCUUUCCUCUUGAAGAGCUGAGGGGGUUGGAUCGUGGCUGCGUUUUAGGGGAAAGAAUCUGUGUUGAAUUUGUUUUCCCUGAAAUCGGUUCAUGGUCCCUUGGUUCGGGUGAGGUGCUGCCUUCCUCUCCUCUACAGUUACUUACAUCUUUAGGGGAUAGCGAGAAUGGAGAGUUUGGAGAGGGAGUUAAUCAUGGGGAGGCGGAGGUUGGGGCCAGUCAUGGGCAAGAGGUUCUCUUGCCUAAGAGACGUGGGCGCCCUAGGAAACUGGGUCGCAAAGCUCGAUUAGCUGUUGGCAUUGUUGGUAGAGACCCCGAAGGGAAGGAUGUUCGUCAUCGUGGUCGACCUAGAAAGAAUGAGAGCAAAGUCAAAGAGGUGAGUAUUCAUAAGAGCUCAACUUCCUCUAGCCCACAAGCAGAGGACCCUUCUGAAGACCGUAAGUUGAUGCUCUUGUCGAUGGAGUUUUCAGAUCCACGAGGCGUUUUGACUAGGGCAAGGAGUGCCCUUCUGAUGGGGAAACAGUUGGGCUUGGAGUAAUCUUGUUCUGAUACCGUUGCCUUGAACCAGAUUGCGGCCCAUAUUUCAGCGCAUUGAGCUUUGUAAGGAUGGUCUUUCUGGUUACGUUUGUUGCUCGACCUCAUUGUUUGGUUGUUUUGUCCUUGGGGUUUUUUUUGGGGUGUUUUCUUUUAAGGUUUGUUUGUUCUAGUGGACUUUUUAUUGUACAGGGGAGGGUGUGCUUUUGGUCAGUGUUGUGUAGGGCGUUUAUGAUUUUUUGAUAGAGCUGUUGCUCUGCUUCCUCUGCUGCUUUUGAAGAGGGCGGGUAGCUUCUCCUCUUCAUGAGAUGAGAGAUCCUGAAACUGAAAAGGAGCCUAAUUAUCAAGAUUUAUGGCGAAUGACUCACCAACAACAAUGGAGAAUGGAUAGAUGAAGCUUCCAAGGAAGUUCAUAUUUUCAGUUCAAGAUGCUUCUACAAAGAGGCUAGAAGGUAUAGAUGAAGAGACAGAGAAAGAUCCAAUUAUCAAUGAUGCUUUUAAAUCAGUUGUAGGACAAUGUUCUGUGUAUUCUCAUGGUCUUGUUGCUUGAAUUCAACAACAAAGGGAAAACCUUAUACUGGUUUACAUGAACAACUAGAUAGUGAGCGUGCAAAGCGACAGGGACAGAGUAUGGAAAUGAAAUUAAGAGAGGUAGUGGCACAACUUCAAGAUGUUUCUACAAAGAGGCUAGAAGGUAUAGAUGAAGAGACAGAGAAAGAUACAAUUAUCAAUGAUGCUUUUAAAUCAAUUGUAGGACAAUGUUCUGUGUAUUCUCAUGGUCUUGUUGCUUGAAUUCAACCAACAAAGGGAAAACCUUAUACUGGUUUACAUGAACAACUAGAUAGUGAGUGUGCAAAGCGACAGCGACAGAAUAUGGAAAUGAAAUUAAGAGAGGUAGUGACACAACUUCAAGAAGAGCGUAU